rnacentral:rRNA from 1 species
UGGGGAAUUUUGGACAAUGGGCGAAAGCCUGAUCCAGCCAUGCCGCGUGCAGGAUGAAGGCCUUCGGGUUGUAAACUGCUUUUGUACGGAACGAAACGGCUCUUUCUAAUAAAGAGGGCUAAUGACGGUACCGUAAGAAUAAGCACCGGCUAACUACGUGCCAGCAGCCGCGGUAAUACGUAGGGUGCAAGCGUUAAUCGGAAUUACUGGGCGUAAAGCGUGCGCAGGCGGUAAUGUAAGACAGUUGUGAAAUCCCCGGGCUCAACCUGGGAACUGCAUCUGUGACUGCAUUGCUGGAGUACGGUAGAGGGGGAUGGAAUUCCGCGUGUAGCAGUGAAAUGCGUAGAUAUGCGGAGGAACACCGAUGGCGAAGGCAAUCCCCUGGACCUGUACUGACGCUCAUGCACGAAAGCGUGGGGAGCAAACAGGAUUAGAUACCCUGGUAGUCCACGCCCUAAACGAUGUCAACUGGUUGUUGGGUCUUCACUGACUCAGUAACGAAGCUAACGCGUGAAGUUGACCGCCUGGGGAGUACGGCCGCAAGGUUGC